CGGGAGGCAGCAGUGGGGAAUUUUCCGCAAUGGGCGAAAGCCUGACGGAGCAAUCUCGCGUGAGGGAUGACUGCCUAUGGGUUGUAAACCUCUUUUUUCAGGGAGGAAUAAAUGACGUGUACCUGAAGAAUAAGCAUCGGCUAACUCCGUGCCAGCAGCCGCGGUAAUACGGAGGAUGCAAGUGUUAUCCGGAAUCACUGGGCGUAAAGCGUCUGUAGGUGGUUUAAUAAGUCAACUGUUAAAUCUUGAAGCUCAACUUCAAAAUCGCAGUCGAAACUAUUAGACUAGAGUAUAGUAGGGGUAAAGGGAAUUUCCAGUGGAGCGGUGAAAUGCGUAGAGAUUGGAAAGAACACCGAUGGCGAAGGCACUUUACUGGGCUAUUACUGACACUCAGAGACGAAAGCUAGGGUAGCAAAUGGGAUUAGAUACCCCAGUAGUCCUAGCUGUAAACAAUGGAUACUAGAUGUUGAACAGAUCGACCUGUGCAGUAUCAAAGCUAACGCGUUAAGUAUCCCGCCUGGGAAGUAUGCUCGCAAGAGUGAAACUCAAAGGAAUUG
rnacentral:rRNA from 1 species